rnacentral:ncRNA from 2 species
CUUACUUUGCAUUAUUAAGGUGAAACAAUUCAUUUCUUAAUAGGGAAUCAGGUGCAAACCCUGAACAGUCCCCGCUGCUGUAACUCUCACUUUUGAUUUGGUACAAUGAGCCACUGUUUAACGAAACGGGAAGGCGUACCAAAUGAGAGAAGUCAGAAGACCUGCCUUAAUGCUCAUUUUAAU